CUUGGGUUUGCGUGACGGUUCCACAUCACCGACCCUCCGCCUCUUGGGUUCGGCGGCCCUCCGCCUCUUGGGUUUGCGUGACGGUUCCACGUCACCGACCCUCCGCCUCUUGGGUUCGGGAGGUGGUUCCAUCUCAGCCGCCCUCUGCCUCUUGGGUUUGCGUGGUUUUUCUGCCUCAGCCUCCUGAGUAGCUAAGGGAGGUGUCUUGAGAUUAUCAUCGGCUGAGGGUGGAAGCGGCCCCCGCAGACGCUCGGCAGGUGUCUUGAUAUUAUCAUCUGCUGAGGGUGGAAGGGCAGUGAGCUGACGCUCGGAAGGUGUCUUGAGAUUAUCAUCCGCUGAGGGUGGAAGGGGAGUGAGCAGACACUCGGGAGGUGUCUUGAGGCUCAGGGAGUUAUCAGUUAUAGAAUGUUGUUGAGUUGGAGGAGGUGGCUGGUGGCCCAUCCUGU
rnacentral:lncRNA from 1 species